rnacentral:rRNA from 1 species
GAGUAUCAAUUGGAGGGCAAGUCUGGUGCCAGCAGCCGCGGUAAUUCCAGCUCCAAUAGCGUAUAUAAAAGUUGUUGCAGUUAAGAAGCUCGUAGUUGAAUUUCUGCCUUGUCAUUAAUCUCGCUUCCGAGCGUUUUUUUAUUGGCUUGGCAUCUUCUGGAUUUGGUGCCUUCGGGUACUAUUUUCCAGGAUUUACUUUGAGAAAACUAGAGUGUUUCAAACAGGCAUUCGCCUUGAAUACUACAGCAUGGAAUAAUGAAGUAGGACUUUGGUUCUAUUUUGUUGGUUAUUGAGCCAGAGUAAUGGUUAAUAGGAGCAGUUGGGGGCAUUCGUAUUUAACUGUCAGAGGUGAAAUUCUUAGAUUUGUUAAAGACGAACUACUGCGAAAGCAUUUGCCAAGGAUGUUUUCAUUAAUCAAGAACGAAAGUUAGGGGAUCGAAAACGAUCAGAUACCGUCUUACUCCUAACCAUAAACUAA